UGCAAUUUUUGCGUUGUUAAUUGUUAUUUCGUUUUCGAAAUUAAAUUUGCAUUUAAAUAAUAUGUUUACAGUUUAUUAGUUUCUUAUUCAAUAUGUAUUUAAACAGAAGUGAAUUUAACCUAGAACUGAAAUAAAUUACGAUAACAAAUUGUGUCGAGGUCAAGGUUUUUUUGAUUGUUUAGUCUAUUAUUACUAUUCCUACAUCUGUGAAAAUGGCGGAGAUAUGAAUUUUUGAAACACAUUCCUCAUAGAAAACUUGGAACAGAUGCGACGCACACGUGCAGCGGACACGGUGGCCCGCGUGCGAGUGUGCGUCGAAUGAACAUCGCACCGCAGUGUUCUGAUAUUCUUCAGCUUCAGAGAAGAUCAAGAUUCAGAAGAAGAAUUAAUAUAACUUUUAUAUAUAAAAAAAAAUGUAAACAAUUGUUGUACAUGAUUGUGUAUAUGAAAAUAAGUUUAUAUUUAGAAAAAAUGUCAUGUACUUUAAGGAAAUGUUACAGUAUGACUAGCUUUCAUUUGCGACGUCCGCUCGAAAUUAAAAAUAACUCAAUUAGUAGCCCAGACUAUGUUCUAAAUAUAAGCCAAAUUUCAACGAAAUCCGAACAACCGUUUAGACUACAAACACUAACAAACAAACUUUCCUUUACAAGAUAUGCAAAGGAAAGAUUUGUAUUUUUGGAUGUAUUCGAUUCACGUAAAAACCACAGGACCGAUUUAAA